rnacentral:misc_RNA from 1 species
GAAAUGCGAUAAGAAAUGCGAAUUGCAGAAUUCCGCGAGUCAUCAGAUCUUUGAACUCAGCCCGCGCUGGAGAGAUAUCUCUUCAGCAUGUUUGAUUCAGUGUGUUUGGUUGACUUCACACAGCUCAAUGCGAUUGAACUUCUCGCAAGGGUAGGUCUCUCGUGAAAAGCGAAGGCGUGGGACUCGCCCGCCAACGAUGUGGUCACUGUCUAACAGUGAAUUCAUUGGGCUCAUCGGACCUGUCAUUUAAGUACGUCUUAAGACAAUCAAAACUUCUUCUUCAAUCUGCACCGGAAAUCAAGCAAGAACACCCGCUGAACUUUA